AUCCUUUUGAAUCUGGGUUGAUAUUUCAUCAGACACUAGACCGUCAGGAUUGAUGAAACUCACAAGAUCAGUGAACAG
rfam:Schistosoma curassoni strain Dakar, Senegal genome assembly, scaffold: SCTD_scaffold0002642